ensembl:lncRNA
UGGUUGUUUAAAUGCUAUGGAUACAAUGGAGGAAAUGGAUCAUGCCACCAAUAUGAAGGCCAUCUUGGCAAAGCUUCCCCACAGGAUAAAAGAAAAGUGGAGGGUAAAGGCCUGUGACUUGGACGACCGGGAUGCCGAUCGAAAACGGGCAAGAAGUCGAGCGCCCCGACGUCUCCUUUCAGCCCGUCCAGCCCGGCGUCUCCUCUGUACCCCCAGUCCCGCGGCCUGGUGCCCAAAUGACCCCUUCACUAGUGGCACCCCCCCACCAACCCCACCGCCUGGAGGGAACGGGGGAUGGGAUCUGGGUCGGGCUGGUGUUUUAUUUGGAAUACCAUUUAUAAUCUUUAUUCCCUGAAGAAAAGAAAAGAGUUUUGGUUCUGAUAACCAAAGAUUUCUUGAACAUUUAACAAAAAAACCAUGCUGCUGUUGUUUUUACCGAACCCUCCAAAGUCCCUCCACUGAUGGUUCUCUGGUUGUCUGGAGAUGGCUUAACCCUCCUGAGUUACUUAUUGGAUGCAUCCUCUGGCAAUGCACUUCCUCAACUUUAUAAAACUCAACCACACUGGCAUAGUUCUACUCUGAUAUGGGACAGAAUGCCACAAGUCUUGUUUCAAUAUUUAAAUGUGUGUGUGUGUGUGUGUGUGUACGUACCUGAAUGUUGAACUUCAUAGGUUUACAUCAUAUUGCGCUGUUCUCGUUACAUGUUUUGUAGUGGGGAAAUGUGUCUAUUUGUGUUUUUAUUCUGCUGAAGCACUAUGUGUAUCUGUAACGAGGGCAAAUGGCCAACUUGGUCAAGUGGCUGUAAUUGCUAAGGUGCUGGAAAAUGCUAGAGGGGGUUACUUCAAGAGUGCAGCACAUACACUACAUGUUUGUGUGUUGUUCUUGGAGCAGACAAAAUAAACGGAGUGAAUAAUUUGCAAAGCUCCUCACCUGGAACGGGCCACAGAAACAUCAGGGUUACAAGGUGCCUUAACCCUCGUCCUUAAUCUCUGAGCCGCAAUUGUGCACUCUUACAUGUCUGCCAAGUGUAUACAAUUUUUUUAUAGUCCUUCAGUUGGAGAUAUUGCCAUUUCCAGAUCCCGUAAAUUCCACUACAUGAGUGCACACCCUGCCUGGUGGAGAAUAGAUGCUUAUUUAGGUUAUUUGGAACAUCUGAUUAGUCUCUGAACUGUACUUGUACCAUCUGCCCUGUUAAGCACAGACCAUGGCAGCAAAAGGACCUCUAAAAGGUACCCAAGAAAUGCUUCCUGCCUGACUUCCAGGGCAAAGAACCACUCCUCUCUCUGACAACCGGUUACCUACUGGAGAGGAAAUCCACUUUUUUAAAAGAAGAAACCAUGCCCCUUCGGCGGGAGGCAUGGGCCUGCCCGCUUGCUGCUACUGCGUAUAUGGUUCUGCUUAUCCCACUGUGAGAGGCCUGGACCAACAGUAGCUGAGUCCACGUCUGGAGUGGAAUGGUUCCAUUCACUAAACAGAUGAGCUUCAACUAACUAACGGUUUAUUAAAUGUAUUUAGAGAGAUGAAUCGACAAAUCGACAUUUAUUAUUAGGCAUAUUCUCAGUCACAUUUGAAUAUCAAAAGAACAGUAAUAAAUAGGUUUCAUGAAAGGAAAGAACCUAUUGCAACCUUUUGGACAUUCUUUUGUAUACAGAUGUAAAUACACAUUUUUAUUUAGUUAUUUCAGUUCUUAUAGACUUAUUUUUUUGGAAUUGUGUAAUUUAAAUGUUCUUUCACAAGACUUGUCUUAACUCAAGGUAGUCAUUUCUGCACCGUAAAUGGCUUUAGUCACAAGGAAGUCCUUCACUUGAUAUUUAUUGGGAAGUCAUAAUUCACUUUACCUCAGUGUGGCAAAGUUGUAUACCUGCUGCAUGAUUCUAGCCAGCUUGAUUUGUUAGGAAUUUGGAUUGUUUGAAUGUUAGGAAAUUAACUCCCCCAAAAAACACACGUGAAUAGUAUGUAUUCCACAGCCUCACCACAGAAAUUAAAACUUCAUAAAAGACUACAAUGACCAUCUUUUAGUAACUGACCAUGAUUCUGUGCAACAGAAAAUAUUCUGGUGCACCAAGAUCUGUCUAGUGCUGUCCUUUACUAUAGUGUUUCUGAUGAUUAAAGACAAUUAUAUCAAA